rnacentral:rRNA from 1 species
UUGAGCGAUUUACUGCGGUAAAGAGCGGCGGACGGGUGAGUAACGCGUGGGUAACCUACCCUGUACACACGGAUAACAUACCGAAAGGUAUGCUAAUACGGGAUAAUAUAUUUGAGAGGCAUCUCUUAAAUAUCAAAGGUGGGCCAGUACAGGAUGGACCCGCGUCUGAUUAGCUAGUUGGUAAGGUAACGGCUUACCAAGGCGACGAUCAGUAGCCGACCUGAGAGGGUGAUCGGCCACAUUGGAACUGAGACA